GGGGACCGUGGGUGGCGCCCCUCCCUCGCCAGUGCUCAGUAUGCACUUGGCCCUGUGGGGGAGCGCCCCUCGCCUGCCAGGGCCCAGUCUCCUUUGAGCCCUAAUGCCACCUGGUGCCUGGGGAGUGAACUGUGUGGGUGGGGCCUUUCCCUCCCAGCCUGGGACACCCUCUUUGGCCUGAGGGCUGAAGGGUCCCUGUUUAAGAGGCCACCCGGAAAGUGGAGAGUUCCUCCUGGGACACCCUCUUUGGCCUGAGGGCUGGAGGGUCCCUGUGGUGUUCCUCCUGGCAAACACCUCCCUUGGCCUUUGGUGUGGCCCUGCAGGGAGUCUUUUGCAGAAAACCUAGGACCUCCAGACCACUGUGAGGGUAUGUCAACUCCAAGGGCACCCAGUACCCGGAUCCAUCCAGCCUGACACCCCAUUUUCUGGCCUUUUGGCCCAUGGGGCUGUGCUCCCUUGCAUGAGCGGAAGGUGUACGGGACCCGUGGAUGCGGGGGCCAAUUUCCAAGGCUUGUCAGUAUCUCGUGGUGGCCCCCACCCCCUCACCAUUGUCGCAGCCCUGUUCCCUUUCCAGAAGUUCCCUCAGGAAAGUCUGGAAAGGAAGUCUUGUCCUCAUCCCAUGUCCUGUUCUUUAACGUAUUCUUUCACUUUGAUGACAGUCACUGUUAGUUUCCUCGUCUGCCUACUCAGUCUUCUGGACUCUUUUGAGUAUUUACUUUUUUUCUUGUUUUUUUACAGCUUUUUAUGUGGUUUCUUUUGGGCUCUUGAGAUACUGGGAUUUUGAAUUUCUUGGCUGUCUAUUGUGUGGAGCCUGGCUGCUCUAAAUGUGUAGGUGACCUUCAUGUCCCCAGCUUGCGAUGAUUCCUGGAGACAUCUGGCUGUCCUGUCUGUUUCUUCCUGGGGAUUGACAAUGGGUUCUUCUUCCCCAUCUUGAGUUUCAGCAUUUUGGGGACAUACUCGCCAUGUUCUGCUCUAUACCCAGUGGGAGGAGCAGCACUGAGGAGAGGAAGAAGAGCUCCAGGCCAAGCAGAUGCCUCAUGGGACCCGUACUCUGCAUGGCCGGGAAGGGACCUGGAGUAGAGAAGCACCAUGUUUGCAAGUGAACAGGACUCAGACCAAGGGAGGAAACUCCGUGUGAUGAAGAGUGAAGGUGAAGGAGCUGAGAAGCUGGACAGAGUGGGCAGGAACAUGCUGCAACUGCACAGAAGGCCACAGGGAGUAGGAACAGACCCAGCUGUCAGAUGGACUCAGGACAAGGCACCCACCCCCUGCACAGUUCUGGUUCUGAAGUUUUGACCUUGGUCCAUAGUGUUCCAGCUCCCUUCAGGCAACUGUCCCAUGCCCAGGAUGGAAGUCCUGGCCCAGGAAGGAAUUCAGGGCUGGAUGGAUCUCACCACAAUGCCUAGCAGGGUCCCCUGGAUCUACACAUCUGCAUUUCCCAGCUUCGUUCCUGUAGAUGGCAGUGCUUCUGUGGGACAGCAGAGGCAGAUCAGCUUCUUCCUCCAUUUUGGCCAAACUGUGAUUAAAUCCAUUUUUCCUUCUUA